rnacentral:rRNA from 1 species
GUGAGGAAUAUUGCGCAAUGAAGGCAACUCUGACGCAGCCAUGCCGCGUGCAGGAAGAAGGCGCUACGCGUUGUAAACUGCUUUUAACCGGGAAGAAACCCCAGGACGUGUCCUGGGUUGACGGUACCGGAGGAAUAAGCACCGGCUAACUUCGUGCCAGCAGCCGCGGUAAUACGAAGGGUGCAAGCGUUAUCCGGAUUCAUUGGGUUUAAAGGGUGCGUAGGCGGAGCGUUAAGUCAGUGGUGAAAUCCUGCAGCUUAACUGUAGACUUGCCAUUGAUACUGGCGCUCUUGAGUGCGCUUGAAGUGGGCGGAAUGUGCCGUGUAGCGGUGAAAUGCUUAGAUAUGGCACAGAACACCAAUUGCGAAGGCAGCUCACUAAGGCGAUACUGACGCUGAGGCACGAAAGCGUGGGGAUCGAACAGGAUUAGAAACCCGUGUAGUCC